GCGGCAGGCUACACAUGCAGUCGAGCGGUAGCACAGAGAGCUUGCUCUCGGGUGACGAGCGGCGGACGGGUGAGUAAUGUCUGGGAAACUGCCUGAUGGAGGGGGAUAACUACUGGAAACGGUAGCUAAUACCGCAUAACGUCGCAAGACCAAAGUGGGGGACCUUCGGGCCUCAUGCCAUCAGAUGUGCCCAGAUGGGAUUAGCUAGUAGGUGGGGUAAUGGCUCACCUAGGCGACGAUCCCUAGCUGGUCUGAGAGGAUGACCAGCCACACUGGAACUGAGACACGGUCCAGACUCCUACGGGAGGCAGCAGUGGGGAAUAUUGCACAAUGGGCGCAAGCCUGAUGCAGCCAUGCCGCGUGUAUGAAGAAGGCCUUCGGGUUGUAAAGUACUUUCAGCGAGGAGGAAGGCGUUAAGGUUAAUAACCUUAGCGAUUGACGUUACUCGCAGAAGAAGCACCGGCUAACUCCGUGCCAGCAGCCGCGGUAAUACGGAGGGUGCAAGCGUUAAUCGGAAUUACUGGGCGUAAAGCGCACGCAGGCGGUCUGUCAAGUCGGAUGUGAAAUCCCCGGGCUCAACCUGGGAACUGCAUUCGAAACUGGCAGGCUAGAGUCUUGUAGAGGGGGGUAGAAUUCCAGGUGUAGCGGUGAAAUGCGUAGAGAUCUGGAGGAAUACCGGUGGCGAAGGCGGCCCCCUGGACAAAGACUGACGCUCAGGUGCGAAAGCGUGGGGAGCAAACAGGAUUAGAUACCCUGGUAGUCCACGCCGUAAACGAUGUCGACUUGGAGGUUGUGCCCUUGAGGCGUGGCUUCCGGAGCUAACGCGUUAAGUCGACCGCCUGGGGAGUACGGCCGCAAGGUUAAAACUCAAAUGAAUUGACGGGGGCCCGCACAAGCGGUGGAGCAUGUGGUUUAAUUCGAUGCAACGCGAAGAACCUUACCUACUCUUGACAUCCAGAAGAACUUAGCAGAGAUGCUUUGGUGCCUUCGGGAACUCUGAGACAGGUGCUGCAUGGCUGUCGUCAGCUCGUGUUGUGAAAUGUUGGGUUAAGUCCCGCAACGAGCGCAACCCUUAUCCUUUGUUGCCAGCGGUUCCCGGCCGGGAACUCCAAAGGAGACUGCCAGUGAUAAACUGGAGGAAGGUGGGGAUGACGUCAAGUCAUCAUGGCCCUUACGAGUAGGGCUACACACGUGCUACAAUGGCAUAUACAAAGAGAAGCGACCUCGCGAGAGCAAGCGGACCUCAUAAAGUAUGUCGUAGUCCGGAUUGGAGUCUGCAACUCGACUCCAUGAAGUCGGAAUCGCUAGUAAUCGUAGAUCAGAAUGCUACGGUGAAUACGUUCCCGGGCCUUGUACACACCGCCCGUCACACCAUGGGAGUGGGUUGCAAAAGAAGUAGGUAGCUUAACCUUCGGGAGGGCGCUACCAC
rnacentral:rRNA from 1 species